rnacentral:rRNA from 1 species
GAUUAACGCUGGCGGCGUGCAUAACACGUUCAAGUCGAACGGAGUGGCGGACGGGUGAGUAACGCGUGAGCAACCUGCCCCUGUGUGGGGGAUAACGACGGGAAACUGUCGCUAAUACCGCAUACACAGGGAUGGGCUCGCGUCUGAUUAGAUAGUUGGUGAGGUAACGGCUCACCAAGUCGACGAUCGGUAGCCGGACUGAGAGGUUGAACGGCCACAUUGGAACUGAGAUACGGUCCAGACUCCUACGGGAGGCAGCAGUGGGGAAUAUUGGGCAAUGGGCGAAAGCCUGACCCAGCGACGCCGCGUGAGGGAAGAAGGUCUUCGGAUUGUAAACCUUAAACAACAGGGACGCGGUACCUGUUAGGAAGCCACGGCUAACUACGUGCCAGCAGCCGCGGUAAUACGUAGGUGGCGAGCGUUAUCCGGAUUUACUGGGUGUAAAGGGUGUGUAGGCGGAGGAGCAAGUCAGGCGUGGAAAUUACGGGCCCAACCCGUAACUUGCGCUUGAAACUGUUCCCCUUGAGUGUCGGAGAGGUAAAUGGAAUUCCCAGUGUAGCGGUGAAAUGCGUAGAUAUUGGGAGGAACACCGGUGGCGAAGGCGGUUUACUGGACGACAACUGACGCUGAGACACGAAAGUGUGGGGAGCAAACAGGAUUAGAUACCCUGGUAGUCCACACCGUAAACGAUGAAUGCUAGGUGUGGGGUCGUGCCGCAGCUAACGCAAUAAGCAUUCCACCUGGGGAGUACGGCCGCAAGGUUGCAACUCAAAUG